rnacentral:rRNA from 1 species
GGCUCCUCGUUUAUGUGCCUAAUUUAUGAGGAGUCGAACCUGCCCAGUGAGGUUUUUAACGGCCGCGGUACUCUGACCGUGCAAAGGUAGCAUAAUCAUUUGCCUUAUAAUUGAAGGCUAGUAUGAAUGGUUUGACGAAAGCAGAUCUGUCUCCUUCUUAUUUUAUAGAAUUUAACUUUCGGGUGAAGAGGCUCGGAUAUGAUUGAAGGACAAGAAGACCCUGUCGAGCUUAAAAGAAUAUAUAGAAGUUUUUAUAAACUUUAAAUAAAUAGUCUAUUGAGCUUUUUAGUUGGGGCGACUAAGGAACAAAAAAAGCUUCUUAAGCACGAAAAACUUACAAGUUUAGAUCCAACCAGUUUGAUCAAAGAAAUUAGUUACCGCAGGGAUAACAGCAUAAUCUCUCUUGAGAGACCUAAUCGAAAGGGGGGGUUGUGACCUCGAUGUUGGACUAGAAUAUCCUAAAGAUGCAGAAGUCUUUGAGGGUUGGUCUGUUCGACCAUUAAAAUUCUA